CUACAAUGGCGACACCCUCCCUCACCCUCUGCCGCAAGCUCUUCCUCCACUGGUCCGUAAUCACACCAAUAACACCAACAGGGAAGCUGACAGGUGGAGGGCUGUCGGGGUUGCCCACGGCUGGACUGGGGAGGAUCCAGAUGUAGCCAGGCCCCAGCAGACCCACCUCAGCUGCGUGAUGAAACAAGUACUGCGCUUCCUCAUAGGAGCAAUACGCCAGCAGGACUUGAGAGUCCACCUGCAGACGGAAGUCUUUCAGUGACAAUCUGCUGCUCCAGAGACGCUCCCAUCUGCAAGAAGGAGGAUCCCUCAGCCUGUAAGGAGUGGGAGAAUCUGAUUUAAGGAUUCAGGACCAGGAGGAGGAGGCGCCUCCUUGCCCUGCUUGCUGAGUUUGCUCAUGACCUGUGUGAUGUCAACAUUGGCGGCCAUCUUGGCCCUCUGCUCCUGCUCCUGCUGCCGUAGGAUGAUGGGGCUGAGACUGGGCCGUCUGUUCUUUGCAUUCUGCUCCAACUGGGAAUCACUGAGAGACCACAAAAAGAGAGGAAGGAUGGAGAAAAGAGAGAGUGUGUGGAAAAAGAAGACAGAUGACAAAGAGGGAAGCGAAGGAUAGUGAGAUGGAGCAGCAAAGAGAAGAGAAUGGAAAGACAAGGUGAAAAUUAAGUUUUAGGAAGCUACAGGGACACUAAUAUCAGCCAGAAUGAUGACAUAAACUUAGAUUCUUCAGACCAAUGUCACUCCUAGGUCAUCCUUUGCAGUGAAUAGUCAGUGCUUUCUUUUCCUCUAUGAUGUGUCAUUUCUGAUUGUG